rnacentral:rRNA from 1 species
GUGGGGAAUAUUGCACAAUGGGCGAAAGCCUGAUGCAGCAACGCCGCGUGAAGGAAGAAGGCCCUUGGGUCGUAAACUUCUGUUCUAAGGGAAGAUAAUGACGGUACCUUAGGAGCAAGUCCCGGCUAACUACGUGCCAGCAGCCGCGGUAAUACGUAGGGGGCGAGCGUUAUCCGGAAUUAUUGGGCGUAAAGAGUACGUAGGUGGUUAUCUAAGCGAGGGGUUUAAGGCAAUAGCUCAACUAUUGUUUGCCCCGCGAACUGGGUGACUUGAGUGCUGGAGAGGAAAGCGGAAUUCCUAGUGUAGCGGUGAAAUGCGUAGAUAUUAGGAGGAACAUCAGUGGCGAAGGCGGCUUUCUGGACAGUAACUGACACUGAGGUACGAAAGUGUGGGGAGCAAACAGGAUUAGAAACCCUGGUAGUCC